GACGAACGCUGGCGGCGUGCCUAAUACAUGCAAGUCGAACGAGAGCGACCGGUGCUUGCACUGGUCAAUCUAGUGGCGAACGGGUGAGUAACACGUGGGUAACCUGCCCAUCAGAGGGGGAUAACAUCCGGAAACGGAUGCUAAAACCGCAUAGGUCUUCGAACCGCAUGGUUUGAAGAGGAAAAGAGGCGCAAGCUUCUGCUGAUGGAUGUACCCGCGGUGCAUUAGCUAGUUGGUGAGGUAACGGCUCACCAAGGCCGUGAUGCAUAGCCGACCUGAGAGGGUGAUCGGCCACAUUGGGACUGAGACACGGCCCAAACUCCUACGGGAGGCAGCAGUAGGGAAUCUUCCGCAAUGGACGCAAGUCUGACGGAGCAACGCCGCGUGAGUGAAGAAGGUUUUCGGAUCGUAAAACUCUGUUGUUAGAGAAGAACAAGUGCUAGAGUAACUGUUAGCGCCUUGACGGUAGCUAACCAGAAAGCCACGGCUAACUACGUG
rnacentral:rRNA from 1 species